UGGGGAAUUUUCCGCAAUGGGCGCAAGCCUGACGGAGUGACGCCGCGUGGGGGACGAAGGCCUUCGGGUCGUAAACCCCUGUCAGAGGGAAAGAAGGGGCGCGGGGUGAACCCGGCGUUCUGACGGUACCCUCAGAGGAAGCCCCGGCCAACUCUGUGCCAGCAGCCGCGGUAAGACAGAGGGGGCAAGCGUUGCUCGGAAUCACUGGGCGUAAAGGGCGCGUAGGCGGGCCGUCAAGUCGGUCGUGAAAUCUCCGGGCUCAACCCGGAGGAGUCGGCCGAAACUGGUGGUCUUGAGGGAGGCAGAGGAGUCUGGAAUUCCCGGUGUAGCGGUGAAAUGUGUAGAGAUCGGGAGGAACACCGGUGGCGAAGGCGGGACUCUGGGCCUACCCUGACGCUGAGGCGCGAAGGCGUGGGGAGCAAACGGGAUUAGAUACCCCGGUAGUCCACGCGGUAAACGAUAGACGACUAGGUGUGGGGGGUUCACGUCCCUUCCGUGCCGCAGCUAACGCAUUAAGUCGUCCGCCU
rnacentral:rRNA from 1 species